rnacentral:rRNA from 1 species
CAGUAGCCGCGGUAAUACGAAGGGGGCUAGCGUUGCUCGGAAUCACUGGGCGUAAAGGGUGCGUAGGCGGGUCUUUAAGUCAGGGGUGAAAUCCUGGAGCUCAACUCCAGAACUGCCUUUGAUACUGAAGAUCUUGAGUUCGGGAGAGGUGAGUGGAACUGCGAGUGUAGAGGUGAAAUUCGUAGAUAUUCGCAAGAACACCAGUGGCGAAGGCGGCUCACUGGCCCGAUACUGACGCUGAGGCACGAAAGCGUGGGGAGCAAACAGGAUUAGAUACCCCGGUAGUCCCUGUCUCUUAUAA